rnacentral:rRNA from 1 species
CUUGGUCAUUUAGAGGAAGUAAAAGUCGUAACAAGGUUUCCGUAGGUGAACCUGCGGAAGGAUCAUUAUCGAAAUUAUAGGUGAGGGUUGUAGCUGGCCUCUCGGGGCAUGUGCACGCCCGAGCCCUUAAUCCACACACACCUGUGAACCUAUUGUAAGGGCCCUUAAAUAGGCCUUUACGUCUUAUCAUCAACCCAUCGUAUGUCUCAUAGAAUGUAAAUAUAUGUCCUCGCCUUAAAAAGCGUUGAUAAACUUAUACAACUUUCAACAACGGAUCUCUUGGCUCUCGCAUCGAUGAAGAACGCAGCGAAAUGCGAUAAGUAAUGUGAAUUGCAGAUUUUCAGUGAAUCAUCGAAUCUUUGAACGCACCUUGCGCUCCUUGGUAUUCCGAGGAGCAUGCCUGUUUGAGUGUCAUUAAAUUCUCAACUCUGAUCGAUUUGUUUCGACUUCGGAGCUUGGAUUUGGAGCGUGCUGGCGUCGGUCGGCUCCUCUUAAAUGCAUCAGCGGAAUCUAACGUUUCGGACGUCAGUGUGAUAAUCAUGUUGCGCUGUCUGUCUGAUCCGAAAGCCCGCUCACAAUGGUCUUCGGACAACUUCAUAUCAAAUUUGACCUCAAAUCAGGUAGGACUACCCGCUGAACUUAAGCAUAUCAAUAAGCGGAGGA